ACCCUUUGUGACAUACCUAACCGUUGCUUCGGCGGGCAGGGGAAGCCUCUCGCGGGCCUCCCCUCCCGGCGCCGGCCCCCACCACGGGGACGGGGCGCCCGCCGGAGGAAACCAAACUCUAUUUACACGACGUCUCUUCUGAGUGGCACAAGCAAAUAAUUAAAACUUUUAACAACGGAUCUCUUGGUUCUGGCAUCGAUGAAGAACGCAGCGAAAUGCGAUAAGUAAUGUGAAUUGCAGAAUUCAGUGAAUCAUCGAAUCUUUGAACGCACAUUGCGCUCGCCAGCAUUCUGGCGAGCAUGCCUGUUCGAGCGUCAUUUCAACCCUCAAGCACCGCUUGGUUUUGGGGCCCCACGGCACACGUGGGCCCUUAAAGGUAGUGGCGGACCCUCCCGGAGCCUCCUUUGCGUAGUAACUAACGUCUCGCACUGGGAUUCGGAGGGACUCUUGCCGUAAAACCCCCAAAUUUUUUACAGGUUGACCUCGGAUCAGGUAGGAAUACCCGCUGAA
rnacentral:rRNA from 1 species